rnacentral:rRNA from 1 species
GAAUCAGUACGCUGGUCGUGCCUUCGGUAUGUACUGGUGUCACUGGUUUCUCCCUUCUGAAGAACCAUCAUGCCAUUCACUUGGUGUGGUGGGAAAUCAGGACUGUUACUUUGAAAAAAUUAGAGUGUUCAAAGCAGGCUUAUGUCUGAAUACAUUAGCAUGGAAUAAUAGAAUAGGACG